GAUGAACGCUAGCUACAGGCUUAACACAUGCAAGUCGAGGGGAAACGACAGAGGAAGCUUGCUUCCUUUGGGCGUCGACCGGCGCACGGGUGAGUAACGCGUAUCCAACCUUCCCGCAAGUAAGGGAUAACCCGUAGAAAUGCGGCCUAAUACCUUAUGUUUUCCUUAGAGGGCAUCUGAUGAGGAACAAAGAUCCGUCGCUUGCGGAUGGGGAUGCGUCUGAUUAGUUAGUCGGCGGGGUAACGGCCCACCGAGACGACGAUCAGUAGGGGUUCUGAGAGGAAAGUCCCCCACAUUGGAACUGAGACACGGUCCAAACUCCUACGGGAGGCAGCAGUGAGGAAUAUUGGUCAAUGGACGAGAGUCUGAACCAGCCAAGUAGCGUGCAGGACGACGGCCCUAUGGGUUGUAAACUGCUUUUAUAAGGGAAUAAAGUGGGUCACGUGUGACUUUUUGCAGGUACCGCAUGAAUAAGGACCGGCUAAUUCCGUG
rnacentral:rRNA from 1 species